GUUUAGAGCAGGGGCCGCGGCGGAGGAACACACCCCCCGGUGCCUCACCCCUCCUCAAACUUGCUGACAUUUGAACUCCAUUGGUGCGCGCCGUAUCGCUGCGCCGCGGUGAUUCGUCUCCUCGACGUCAAAUAGUGCCCUGGCCCCGCCGGGCCCCCGCGGCCCCCGAAGCGCAGCGGCGCCCGGGGCGCGGGGCUGGCGGGCUCCGCGCACCCCGGCGCAGCGAGCGGCAAACGGGGCUGGGACCGGCACCGGAGCGGGCCGGGUGGCAGAGCGAGCGCGGCCGCCGAGGAUCGCGGCGGAGCGGGGACCCGGCCGCUCCGCUUCCCGCCCCGCUACCGGCCCGACGGCGGCUCCUGGCUCCUGCCCUGUCGGGCUGCACUCUGCACCUUCCCCGCCUGCCAACGGCCUACUGCGAAACACCGCUGCCUGGGAGCCCGCCGUAGCGGGCAGCGCUCGGAGAACGCAGGGACACCAGGCCAACCGCACGGUGAACAGAGCCUGAGCUCGUGGCCGGUGCACGGGAUGGAGACCUCCGAGUUUCCCCCAUACCGGGCGCUGCUAACGGCUCUGCAGCCCGCGGUCUUCGACCGAGCCCCCGGGGGCUCCCCGCCGACGGCCCCGGGCCCCGGGCCCCAGAGCCGUCACCGCCGGGAAAAGCGGCCGGCGGCUGUGCUCGGCUGUGACUGAUUCAGCUGCUCUCCCUCCUUCGGAAGGACAAAUGUAAGCGAGCUGCAAAGUGUAGUUACUAAUAACAAUAACAAUAAAUUAUCGGGCUCUUGCUCAGUAGCGCAAACAAA